rnacentral:misc_RNA from 1 species
UCCGGCUUAACGCCGGCAGUCCCGCCAGAGUCCACAGCAUUACCCGCUAGUAACUGGCGGCAAGGGUUUCGCUCGUUAAGGGACUUAACCCGACACUUCACAGCACGAGCUGACGACAGCCGUGCAACACCUGUGCUUGUUCCACCCCGAAGGGUAUCCUCUCAACUCAUCGCCGAGAGUCAUCCAAGCAUGUCAAACCCGGGUAAGGUUCUUCGCGUUGCUUCGAAUUAAGCCACAUGCUCCACCGCUUGUGUGAGCCCCCGUCAAUUCCUUUGAGUUUUAGCCUUGCGGCCGUACUCCCCAGGCGGCACACUUAGCACUUUUGCUACGACGGCGGAAACGUCAGAGUCCCCGUCAUCUAGUGUGCAUCGUUUACGGCGUGGACUAC